rnacentral:rRNA from 1 species
AGGACGAACGCUGGCGGCGUGCUUAACACAUGCAAGUCGAGCGGAAAGGCCCUUCGGGGUACUCGAGCGGCGAACGGGUGAGUAACACGUGAGCAACCUGCCCUUAGCUCCGGGAUAGCUCCGGGAAACCGGAAUUAAUACCGGAUACGACCACGGCCGACAUCUGCUGUGGUGGAAAGGAUUCCGGCUAAGGAUGGGCUCGCGGCCUAUCAGCUAGUUGGUGGAGUAACGGCCCACCAAGGCGACGACGGGUAGCCGGCCUGAGAGGGCGACCGGCCACACUGGGACUGAGACACGGCCCAGACUCCUACGGGAGGCAGCAGUGGGGAUAUUGCGCAAUGGGCGAAAGCCUGACGCAGCGACGCCGCGUGGGGGAUGAAGGCCUUCGGGUUGUAAACCCCUUUCAGCAGGGACGAAGCGAAAGUGACGGUACCUGCAGAAGAAGCGCCGGCUAACUACGUGCCAGCAGCCGC